rnacentral:SRP_RNA from 1 species
UGCAGCCGGGGAGUUAGCGGUGCCCUGUACCUGCAAUCCGCUAUAGCAGGGGUGAGAUCUUGCCCCGGGCAAUCUUUUGUGGAGCUGCCCUUCAUAAGUGGCGUUGACGUUUGGGUCUUACGCAACAGGACUUUACGAACCGUGUCAGGAUGGGAACAUAGCAGCACUAAGUAAACAACCCUGUGUGCCGUGAGGGCGCCUGAACCGAGUUUACUGUGGAGGUAACGUCUGUGAAAGGCUGUUCAAAGCAAGAUGCACG